UACGUAGGGUGCAAGCGUUGUCCGGAAUUAUUGGGCGUAAAGAGCUCGUAGGCGGUCUGUCACGUCGGGCGUGAAAAUCCAGGGCUUAACCCUGGACCUGCGUUCGAUACGGGCAGACUAGAGUUCGGUAGGGGAGACUGGAAUUCCUGGUGUAGCGGUGAAAUGCGCAGAUAUCAGGAAGAACACCCGUGGCGAAGGCGACUACCUGGCCUGUUCUUGACGCUGAGGCGCGAAAGCUAGGGGAGCAAACGGG
rnacentral:rRNA from 1 species